rnacentral:rRNA from 1 species
UACGUAGGGUGCAAGCGUUAAUCGGAAUUACUGGGCGUAAAGCGUGCGCAGGCGGUUGUGCAAGACAGAUGUGAAAUCCCCGGGCUUAGCCUGGGAAUUGCAUUUGUGACUGCACGGCUAGAGUGUGGCAGAGGGGGGUAGAAUUCCACGUGUAGCAGUGAAAUGCGUAGAUAUGUGGAGGAAUACCGAUGGCGAAGGCAGCCCCCUGGGAUAACACUGACGCUCAUGCACGAAAGCGUGGGGAGCAAACAGG